UUAACGGAGAGUUUGAUCCUGGCUCAGGAUGAACGCUGGCGGCAUGCCUAAUACAUGCAAGUCGUGCGGGGGUCUUCGGACCCU
rnacentral:ncRNA from 1 species